AUACGUAGGGGGCAAGCGUUAUCCGGAUUUAUUGGGCGUAAAGCGAGCGCAGGCGGUUUCUUAAGUCUGAUGUGAAAGCCCCCGGCUCAACCGGGGAGGGUCAUUGGAAACUGGGAAACUUGAGUGCAGAAGAGGAGAGUGGAAUUCCAUGUGUAGCGGUGAAAUGCGUAGAUAUAUGGAGGAACACCAGUGGCGAAGGCGGCUCUCUGGACCGAUACUGACGCUGAGACGCGAAAGCGUGGGUAGCAAACAGGAUUAGAUACCCUGGUAGUCCACGCCGUAAACGAUGAGUGCUAAGUGUUGGAGGGUUUCCGCCCUUCAGUGCUGCAGCAAACGCAUUAAGCACUCCGCCUGGGGAGUACGACCGCAAGGUUGAA
rnacentral:rRNA from 1 species